rnacentral:hammerhead_ribozyme from 1 species
AUCCAGCUGACUAGUCUCAAAUAGGACGAAACGCGCAUCCUGGAU